rnacentral:rRNA from 1 species
UACGUAGGGUGCAAGCGUUGUCCGGAAUUAUUGGGCGUAAAGAGCUCGUAGGCGGUCUGUCGCGUCUGCUGUGAAAAUCCAGGGCUCAACCCUGGACCUGCAGUGGGUACGGGCAGACUAGAGUGCGGUAGGGGAGAUCGGAAUUCCUGGUGUAGCGGUGAAAUGCGCAGAUAUCAGGAGGAACACCGGUGGCGAAGGCGGCUCACUGGCCCGAUACUGACGCUGAGGCACGAAAGCGUGGGGAGCAAACAGG